rnacentral:misc_RNA from 1 species
CAGUAGAGAGCGAUCAUCACACUAAUAAAGUAUAUUGAGAUCAUCAAAGCAUGACUGAAGGCCUCAUUAUGGAAUUCCAAUCAAGUACAUUGAGAAAUGACAAGUUGACAACAGACUGCUGAUACAGCUACCAUGAUAUUCAUUACAAGUGGCUAAGGAUUCCAAGUCUAGACUAACCAUCAUACCAAACAAUAUAACAUGCUCUGAAGUCUCAUAACAGAAUUCUUGAAGUACAUAAGUAACUACUCAAGCACAGAACUGAAUGAAAUCCCAGACUGCCAUGCUUUCAGAAGUCCAAUUAUUUCACUUACGUGACAAAACUAGUGCUUGAAGACAUCUUCAAAGAACAAUGUCAACUGAUCCACCUGAAGAUAACUUCACAAAUAUCUGCAGAAUAUCACCCGAUGGCAAGUAAUUUCCUUGGUAAGCUAAUGAAUAAUCCAAAUAAAUGAAGGAAGAUCUCACAACUCAUUCCCCCAUCCAGCAACAAUCACAAGCAGCUGCAAAUCAAAUCACACGAUUACCAAAAUAAUGUUGCUUACUUGAAUUUUGCAGUAUCAUCAGACAAACAAGCUUGAAUGGUAAUUCUUCAUCUUAAGUUCUUGGCUGCAUAACACAGAGGCUAACUUCUACUUUGAAUAACCAAUUCCACAGUUUCUCAUUAAACCAAGUAUGCAAUAGUCAAUACAACUGCGCGCACACACACGGGCAACCAGCAGAAUUUUGAAAACACAUAAAACAAUGGCACCAAAAUUAGUAUCAUUUUAACACCUUUUUCCCUGUUGAUAUUUAGGCAGCGACUUCCUAGAUGAGCAGCCAUCGACAAUCCAGAACUAUAGGUAUUAUGGACUUCAAAUGCCAUCCCUGCAUGAUAGCCCCCUGUUAUAUUCGUUCCAUCAAACAAUGCUGUAGGAGAAAAAGAAU